rnacentral:lncRNA from 1 species
GCCUCUGAGCAGGUCCAGAAGGGACCCCUUUAGCUGAAAGGCAUUGCAGAGCUCAGUGUGAUCAAGCAGAAGAAGAAAAAGAAGGACAAAGGCAAGGCAAAUUUCCUGAAAGCCAUGGCAAUGAGCAAAAAGAACAAGGGGGAGAAGCGACACAGCCUGGACAAGUGGACCCCAGCCCAGAUGGCCUUAGAAAGAUGCAAGAGAAGUGUCAAAUGGAAAGGAUCCUGAAGAAAGCAUCCGAAAUCUACAAGCAGAGAGUGGAGGACUU